rnacentral:rRNA from 1 species
AUUGAAUGCUGGCGGCAGGCCUAACACAUGCAAGUCGAGCGGAGCGGCGGACGGGUGAGUAAUGCCUAGGAAUCUGCCUGGUAGUGGGGGAUAACGUCCGGAAACGGGCGCUAAUACCGCAUACUAUCAGAUGAGCCUAGGUCGGUUUAGCUAGUUGGUGGGGUAAAGGCCUACCUAGGCGACGACCCCUAACUGGUUGGAGAGGAUGAUUAGUCACACUGGAACUGAGACACGGUCCAGACUCCUACGGGAGGCAGCAGUGGGGAAUAUUGGACAAUGGGCGAAAGCCUGAUACAGCCAUGCCGCGUGUAUGAAGAAGGUCUUAGGGUUGUAAAGCACUUUAAGUCGGGAGGCGUUACCAACAGAAGAAGCACCGGCUAACUCCGUGCCAGCAGCCGCGGUAAUUC